AUAUUUAUCAUUUUAUCACAUAAGCAUAUUACUCGUGAUAUUCCAAUUUGACUAGCAAAUCUAUCAUUAACGUGGAGUCACAAUGUAAAGCAUUACUUCAACACUGUCACUGGGCAUGUAAAAGGGAGGUGUCACCUAAAACCUAUAAUCAGGGCAUCUAAGUUGGGAGAUUUACCGCCGUUUUUCUUUUGGAUGGCUCAAUAAUGUCUACGGAUGUUCUGUUAAAGCGGGUUUUGGUUGCUCCGGAAGGAACUCACGGUUUCGACAGCCCAAUGAUAUGUUGUGGCGAGGGUGAAGUGAGAAGUCUGGUUUCAACUUUAUUUAUCUUAUCUAUUGUGAUUUCUGUUAAGCUUUCAGCUAGUUUGAUCUUUUAUGUUUAACUUGCCAGUUUCGAUUCAUUUUUGUGUGGUGUUUGUGCUUAUCGUUUUUAAACUAAUCUCCCGUGUGUGGGCUAUAGAUUCCGGCGAUAUUCAUUUCGUAUGUCGGCUUAAGACUCACGGGGUUGUAUAAACCAUCGUCUUUGUAUG